rnacentral:rRNA from 1 species
UACGUAGGGUGCGAGCGUUGUCCGGAAUUAUUGGGCGUAAAGAGCUCGUAGGCGGCCUGUUGCGUCGGUUGUGAAAGCCCGGGGCUUAACCCCGGGUCUGCAGUCGAUACGGGGCAGGCUAGAGUUCGGUAGGGGAGAUCGGAAUUCUCGGUGUAGCGGUGAAAUGCGUAGAUAUCGAGAGGAACACCUGCGGCGAAGGCGGGUUGCUGGGCUGACACUGACGCUGAUGCGCGAAAGCCAGGGGAGCGAACUGG